rnacentral:rRNA from 1 species
UACGUAGGGUGCAAGCGUUGUCCGGAAUUAUUGGGCGUAAAGAGCUCGUAGGCGGUUUGUCGCGUCUGCUGUGAAAACGCGAGGCUCAACCUCGCGCCUGCAGUGGGUACGGGCAGACUAGAGUGAUGUAGGGGAGACUGGAAUUCCUGGUGUAGCGGUGAAAUGCGCAGAUAUCAGGAGGAACACCGGUGGCGAAGGCGGGUCUCUGGGCCGACACUGACGCUGAGGAGCGAAAGCGUGGGGAGCGAACAGG